rnacentral:rRNA from 1 species
ACGGAAGGCAGCAGUGAGGAAUAUUGGUCAAUGGCCGGAAGGCUGAACCAGCCAUGCCGCGUGAAGGAAUAAUGUCCUAUGGAUUGUAAACUUCUUUUGUAUGGGAGCAAUAAGGUCUACGUGUAGAUCGAUGAGAGUACCAUACGAAUAAGCAUCGGCUAACUCCGUGCCAGCAGCCGCGGUAAUACGGAGGAUGCAAGCGUUAUCCGGAUUUAUUGGGUUUAAAGGGUGCGUAGGCGGUAUGGUAAGUCAGUGGUGAAAUGUCUCCGCUCAACGGAGAACGUGCCAUUGAUACUGUCGUACUAGAAUAUGGUUGCCGUGGGAGGAAUGUGUAGUGUAGCGGUGAAAUGCUUAGAUAUUACACAGAACACCGAUUGCGAAGGCAUCUCACGAAACCAUCAUUGACGCUGAGGCACGAAAGUGUGGGGAUCAAACAGGAUUAGAUACCCUGGUA